AUUGAACGCUGGCGGCAGGCCUAACACAUGCAAGUCGAACGAGUGGCGGACGGGUGAGUAAUGUCUGGGAAACUGCCUGAUGGAGGGGGAUAACUACUGGAAACGGUAGCUAAUACCGCAUACCAUCAGAUGGGCCCAGAUGGGAUGAGCUAGUUGGGGGGGUAACGGCUCACCAAGGCGACGAUACCUAGCUGGUCUGAGAGGAUGACCAGCCACAUUGAGACGGAUAUAAGGUCCAGACUCCUACGGUAGGCAGCAGUGGGGAAUAUUGCACAAUGGGCGCAAGCCUGAUGCAGCCAGGCCGCGUGAAUGAAGAAGGCCUUCGGGUUGUAAAGUUCUUUCAGCGGGGAGGCGUUACCCGCAGAAGAAGCACCGGCUAACUCCGUGCCAGCAGCCGCGGUAAUAC
rnacentral:rRNA from 1 species